UUCCUUCUCUUCCUCCUCCUCCUUCUUCACUUCUCCCUCUACCUCCUCCUCUUCCUCCUACUCCUUCUUCUCCUCCUUCUCCUCUUCCUUCUUUUUCUCCUCCUUCUCCUAUUUCUCCUCCUCCUCCUCCUCCUCCUUCUCCUCCUCCUCCUCCUCUUUCUCACUUCCCCCCCCUCUUCUUUCUUCUUAGGACACACACAAGUGUCCAGGUUGCCAGGAGCUGGCAUGCAGCGACAGCCUCUCAGGAUGACUGGCUGACACUGCUUUCCGAAAGAAUGUCCGAGUCUGCCUGCUGCAAAGAUCCAAGGAACGCGUGAGUUUCAUGUGAUUGAUGGCUGUUGACUGACAGUGGGUUUUGUGGAAUAAUGAGAAGAGUCCCAGUCGGCAAAGGGCUCCAAGAACAAAUGAGGGAAAAAAAUGUGGCUGAAAUUCAAAGGCAAAAAGUUCACUUACUUGCUCAUCAUUCUGCGGACUCCAUGGAAGAUGAAGCCCAUCAUAAGUAUUAAUGUGCAUGACAUCUCCUUCCAGUUAAGCGGUCCGUGCCGUGAACGAGGAGGUUCUCUGUGCAGAGGAGGUGCUGCCUUGGAGGCAUCCCCAGAGCGUGCACCAUCUUCUGAACACCAGCAAGGACAGGGUGGGACACUGAGUCCCUUCCUGUGAAGGAUUUCCCACUGUGGCUUCUGUUUGUUUGAUUGAUGAUUGAUUGUUUCAUUGGUUGGGUUUGGGUUUUUUUUGUGUUGUUUAUCGAGACAGGGUUUCUCUGUGUAGCCCUGGCUGUCCUGGAACUCACUCUGUAGACUAGGCUGGCCUUGAACUCAGAGAUCUGCCUGCCUCUGCCUCCCAAGUGCUGGGAUUAAAGGAGUACG